UACGUAGGGUGCGAGCGUUAAUCGGAAUUACUGGGCGUAAAGGGUGCGCAGGCGGUUAUAUAAGACAGAUGUGAAAUCCCCGGGCUCAACCUGGGAACUGCGUUUGUGACUGUAUGACUAGAGUACGGUAGAGAGGGGUGGAAUUCCUGGUGUAGCAGUGAAAUGACGUAGAUAUCAGGAGGAACACCGGUGGCGAAGGCGGACUCACUGGCUCGUAACUGACGCUCAUGCACGAACAGCGUGGGGGAUCAAA
rnacentral:rRNA from 1 species